AUUGAACGCUGGCGGCACGCCUAACACAUGCAAGUCGAGCGGCAGCGCGAUAUGUAGCAAUACUAGUUGUCGGCGAGCGGCGGACGGGUGAGUAACACGUAGGAAUCUGCCCUUAAGCGGGGGAUAACCAAGGGAAACUUUGGCUAAUACCGCAUAAUCGCGAGAGAGCAAAGCUGCCCGCAAGGGAGGCACUUGAGGGGGAGGCUGCGUCCGAUUAGCUAGUGGGUGGGGUAAUGGCCUACCAAGGCGAUGAUCGGUAACUGGUCUGAGAGGACGACCAGUCACACUGGGACUGAGACACGGCCCAGACUCCUACGGGGGCAGCAGUGGGGAAUAUUGGACAAUGGGGGCAACCCUGAUCCAGCGAUGCCGCGUGAGUGAAGAAGGCCUUCGGGUCGUAAAGCUCUUUAGGUUGGGAAGAAGGGUAUUGGCUGAAUAAUCCAGUACUUUGACGGUACCGACAGAAUGAGCACCGGCAAACUCUGUGCCAGCCGCCGCGGUAAGAC
rnacentral:rRNA from 1 species